GGAGAAGUACCCAAGUGGUGAAGGGGACGGUUUGCUAAACCGUUAGCAGAGGCAACUCUGGCGGGGGUUCAAAUCCCCCCUUCUCCGCCA
rnacentral:tRNA from 1 species